ensembl:lncRNA
AUCUCUUGGAUCUAGGCUGCUUCCUGAGGAGGAGUGUUCUGUAGCUAGUGAUCUUCACAAAUUGGGGUAUGCAUGAGAGUUAUGGCUGUGAUACUCUUUAACGUGGGGUUCUCUAGACUGCCUAAAAGUCAGCAUCAGAGGUAUAGCUAACAAAACUUUACACUGAGGCUGAGCUGUACAUGGCCUAAAUAUAUUUCUGCCUCCUCAGACACAGAAGAAUACAAGCUUAUCUCAAGCUUGGGAGCCACAUAAUUAUAAAACAGCAUUCACUUAUUUUCCAAACUGACAGGAGGAGUUUGGAAUGGAGGACCUGUGCCAUCAGAUGUGUUUUCUCUCUGUGUAGCAAUGGGAGAUCAGAGAAGGCCUGAAAAAAGAAACUUUCUGUUCUUGUAGCCCCUGGCGUUGUAUCUCCUUGCUUUCAUAAGUUGAUGCAUAUGUUGCUUAUGCAUUGAACCAACCCUAAUAAUUCUUAAAGAAAACUUCUGAACACUGCUGUACCUGAGGUACUUCAGUAGUUUGUUUCUUUUUAAUUGUUACGUAUCUUUACAGUUUAAUGAAUGACAGCUGCUCAUAUAGACUAGUUCCGAACACAAAAAUACACACUAGGGUAUUCAUGCUUCUUUUUUCCAUUUAACUUUAAAAAUGGGAUUCUCUCAGCCUGCUUCUUUUUCAGAAGAGUAUGUAUUGACAAACGACAGUCCCUUAAUGCUUUCUGACAAUAACAGUGAUUUUUGCCAAUUUGAGCUGCCAGCAGUAACGACUGUCUGUUAAAACAAACAAUUAAUGAAUGUGUCCAAAUGACCUUUUACCAACUGCUGUCUUUUAGAGUCAACAUUAACUUCUCUAUAGCAUUUUCAGCAAUUUUAUGAGUAAAUUCUGUCAAUUUCACAGAAUUUUAAGUGUAUAAAGGUAACUAAUUUAACGGACAAUUUGUAUGCAAGUUAGUAUGAAUAACUUUGCUAGUGCUAGUCUAGUUCUGCAACUUACCAUGAGCACAUAGGUUUACAUCAACAGAUAUAACUGUAGGGGUAGGAGGAGUACUAGUCAGUGUGAAAAUCGUUCACAUAGAAGACAACUAAAAAGUAUAAAGACUUGUUUGUAUCUUUGUGUCAGCACAAAUGCUUCUGGAAUUACCCAGUGGCAACAUCCGUUUAUAAGGGCAACUGGGAGCAUAUGUAAGCAGUAAUGGCUGUGCUGACCUCUAUAAAAGUCUGCAUCUCAUUCUUGAUUUUAUAAAUUCCUUUAAAAUACUUUAAGGCUCUAUUCACUGAGUCAUGUUAAAAUGAAAAAGAGUAAGUCUCAAGUCCAUGCCACUUCUCUGUAGGCACUGUAGAGAAAAAGAAAUUCCUUCCAAUCAACAUCGGUGGUGUGCAAGCAUUAGGGAAUGAGCUACAGAGACUAUUGGAUUACGUAUAUCAUGUAGUUCAAGAGUCUUUGGAACAACACACAUUCCUAGAAAAUACAAAAUCAUGUUCAAGGGACCGCAGCUAGAAUUCAGGAGUGAAAUUUCCAUCUCAAUAGCAUACUUCCUGUAGGGUCAUUUAACAUUAAUAACACAAUUCCUUGUAUGAUAUGUAUUACUGUUUUCUUGUUCCAUGUAAUUUAUACUAUAUAUACUGGGGAAGGUUCUGUUCAUCACUAAUUGGACAUGACUGCAGUAUUCCUUUGGCUGGUUGUAAGGAUGCAGAAUUAUGAAUUGGUAAACUCACCAGCUGAUUUUGAAAAUGCAAGGGGAAGAAAAUGAAAUAGGACAAAAUCAUAUUUCUAUGACUUUUACUUUGUCCUUUAAUUAGUCAUUAAAUUUAGCAGAUAGAAAAGGUUUUUAGCCCUUGAGGAACAAGCCAAACAUGAAAUAUUUUUACUAAAAUGGCUCAGACAAUUUCCAAUAAAAUAAGAGAAAAAUGGCUCAUGGAGAAUGUUUGUCUGCUAUGCUCUUGGUCAGUAGCAAUUAAAAUACAAACUGUAGAUUAUCCUUUGAAUGGGAAAAACCAUAGGUGAACAUCACAGCUGCCUUCUUUCAUCAAAUAGAUAAAAAUUUCAUCCUGCUAAGCAUCUGGAUAGUGUCACUUUAUUCCCAAUUACCUAUCUGCAGCUUCCAACUCAAAAUGAAAAUAUGGUAGAAACAUUUGAAGGAAGACAAUAAGCUUAGUUUUGAAAGAAAGCAAAUAUCUUGCUCAUUUAUUUAGUUAACUGUUCACUUGAGGCUGAUGAGAGAAGCUCACUUAAUUUGUUAUAUUGUAUGUAUAAUUAAAAUUUCAUAUAAGUGCAAAAUAAUGGUUAGAGAAUUAAAACACAACAAAUGCUAGCCUUAGGAUACUGCAAAAUAGGGUGUUCUACAGGAAAAUAUUAUGUUAUGAAUUUGAAAUUACAUUUCAUUUCUAAAGUAUUUUGAAAUAAAUUAUUAUCAUUAACCUGUAUUUUUUUGAAUUUUAAACCAAUGGUUGUUGCUAAAUAUUUUUAGCUAUAAAUUCAUGACUCUCUUCACACGCUUAAUGAAGCUAUUCAUAUGUCAAAAAUUAAAUCUGUGUCUUAAUUCUUUCAGAGUAGAACUACAGUAAUUAUGUUAGCAGUUGUUGACGUGAAAUAUAUUGCAAUACUAUUCUAGGUUUGUUUUUUAAAGGCAUAAUAUAUAGCAUUGUUUAAUCUGUGAAACAAACACAUAUCCUUUCUCUCUGUUACAUGAAAAGAAAAAUCCAGUAUAAAAUGGUUUUUAUUGUUAUAACAUACACACUAUAAGAAAGCAUUCUGUAAAUUAUCUGCAGGUUACAUUGGGUCUGAGAUGAUCUUUGAUACAUUUCCUUUGCAUAAUAUAGCAGAGCACCAUGUAGUCAUGUACUUUUAAUUAUCAUGUGAUUGUUUUGAUAUUAAAAUGUGAUUACUUGAAAUAAAAUAUUAUGUGAAUUUUAGUU